UAGCUCAAGGGUAGAGCGUGUGCUUAGCAUGCACGAGGUCCUGGGUUCUAUUUCCAG
rfam:Camelus ferus unplaced genomic scaffold scaffold651, whole genome shotgun sequence.